rnacentral:rRNA from 1 species
UAAAAAAAGGUAAGCUACUAAGAGCGAAUGGUGGAUGCCUUGACUGGUAAAGGCGAUGAAGGACGUACUAGACUGCGAUAAGCUACGGGGAGCUGUCAAGAAGCUUUGAUCCGUAGAUUUCCGAAUGGGGCAACCCAAUGUAUAGAGAUAUACAUUACCUAUAUAGGAGCGAACGAGGGGAAUUGAAACAUCUUAGUACCCUCAGGAAAAGAAAUCAAUAGAGAUUGCGUCAGUAGCGGCGAGCGAAAGCGCAAGAGGGCAAACCCAGUGCUUGCACUGGGGGUUGUAGGACUGCAAUGUGCAAGAGGUAAGUUUAGCAGAACAUUCUGGAAAGUAUAACCAUAGAGGGUGAUAGUCCCGUAUGCGAAAAACAAACCUUAGCUAGCAGUAUCCUGAGUAGGGCGGGACACGAGGAAUCCUGUCUGAAUCUGGGUCGACCACGAUCCAACCCUAAAUACUAAUACCAGAUCGAUAGUGCACAAGUACCGUGAGGGAAAGGUGAAAAGAACUGAGGUGAUCAGAGUGAAAUAGAACCUGAAACCAUUUGCUUACAAUCAUUCAGAGCCCUAUGUAGCAAUACAGGGUGAUGGACUGCCUUUUGCAUAAUGAGCCUGCGAGUUGUGGUGUCUGGCAAGGUUAAGCAAACGCGAAGCCGUAGCGAAAGCGAGUCUGAAUAGGGCGCUUAGUCAGAUGCUGCAGACCCGAAACGAAGUGAUCUAUCCAUGAGCAAGUUGAAGCUAGUGUAAGAACUAGUGGAGGACUGAACCCAUAGGCGUUGAAAAGCCCCGGGAUGACUUGUGGAUAGGGGUGAAAGGCCAAUCAAACUUCGUGAUAGCUGGUUCUCUCCGAAAUAUAUUUAGGUAUAGCGUUGUGUCGUAAUAUAAGGGGGUAGAGCACUGAAUGGGCUAGGGCAUACACCAAUGUACCAAACCCUAUCAAACUCCGAAUACCUUAUAUGUAAUCACAGCAGUCAGGCGGCGAGUGAUAAAAUCCGUCGUCAAGAGGGAAACAACCCAGACUACCAGCUAAGGUCCCUAAAUCUUACUUAAGUGGAAAACGAUGUGAAGUUACUUAAACAACCAGGAGGUUGGCUUAGAAGCAGCCAUCCUUUAAAGAAAGCGUAAUAGCUCACUGGUCUAGUGAUUUUGCGCGGAAAAUAUAACGGGGCUAAAGU